rfam:Schistosoma curassoni strain Dakar, Senegal genome assembly, scaffold: SCTD_contig0000327
AGCCUUCUAAAUCCGUGCUGAGAUUUUGUCAAACACCCAUCCCUCAUGGCUGACUAAAAUUCCAAGAUAAGUGAAGUG